AAAAACAAAAAGGAUAAUAGAAUCAAAUAAAGCAUAUAUAUAAUUAUAACACUUGAUAAUCAUAAUAAUUUCAUCAUUUUUUUAAAUAAGCUAAGAAAAUUACAUGAAAGGGAAAAAUAAGAAGUCAAAAAUCAAUACCACCUGCCUAUGAUGGUGUGAUGGCGGCUAAGGAGGUGAUGAUGGAGACUGUGGCUGUGAUGGCAGAACAUUCGGCUGCUAGAAUGGGGCAAAGUCACGCACCAAGGCCAAUAAUUGAGAAGUGAGAAGAGAUGACACCGACACCUGGACAUUUGUGGAGGUGCCCCGUAGUGGUAGGUGGUGGUUGUUGGCAUGGGCCUUGGAGAGUUGGAGGUGUCACUUGUUUAACGAGAGGUCGAGAGCAUUAGGGAUUUAGGGUUUCAUUUAGCAAAGUGCUUCAUUAUUUAUAUUUCUUUUUUUUUUUAAUUUACUUAUUAAAAAAUAGGGCACGGAUCCGAGUCAUGGGUUUUUGGUUCCAUGCCCGGACCCGUGCUCGAAAUUAGUUGUAUAUUUAACUACUUUAUUUAUAAACACGGGCCGAAUUGUCUGGAUCCAGGCGGAGCGCGUUUUAUUGCCAAGCUUACUUCUCACAUCCCUAAAAAGUACUUAUAACACCUUUAUGAAGUUUACAAUUUUAACCUUACUGAUAAUUAUAUUAUUAAGAGGCUUUUGCUACCUUACAUGCACGUAAGGUACAGCCUCUCACAAGGUUGGUGGGUCCAAGUGGGACCCACAUCUGAGUUUUGUGAGAGGACUGUACCUUACGUGCAUGUAAGGUAGCAGCUCCCUUAUUAAGAACUUUAACACCUCAUAUCUCCUUUGGAUGCAUUAAUUGGCCAUCUACAUGUUAGAAAUUUCUAGACCUGAAAACAAAAAGCCUCAAAACUGAGAAAAUUUCCGGCCAAAAUACGCCAGCGAAGAAAACAAAGAGAUUUGAGGAAGGUUCUAUAACAUGGUUAGAGAGAGAAAGCCAGGUUAUAAAGUUUAUUAAAAAAAAAGAGUGAAGUAAUAUACUAAUAUAUGUGGACGGCAGUUUUGGAAUUGUUGUCGUGUCAAUUAGAUUUCUUAUAAAUUAUUAUUCUUACCAUUUGAUGGGGCAUCCUUAGGAGAUGGAAUUUAUACAGAAAUUGGAGAGGUGUCAAAAGCUCAAAUCUUACAUGAAAGGACAAAUAUGGGCUUUUAAAUUAGACCCAAAUAAGUGUUCAGGACUUUGAAAAACAUAGGCCCAAUUUAAAUUAUUAAUGUCGGAGUAAAAAUCUUUACACCCCUAAUAUCCUCAUAACACCCCCAUUUUUGUGUAAUCAUAGUUCUAUUAUAAAAUGAAAUUACAUAAAAUAACAAAUAUGAAUUUAUUGAAAGACUAAAAUAUCUUUACACCUUCUUUCAAAAACAAAAUUUACACCUACAAAUCGUGAGUCCUUCUAUCUUUAAUUUAAAUUGUAAUCGAGGAUAUAAUUAAUUUCUUGAUAAACUCAAAAUAAUUUUGUAACAAUGAAUAAAUAACUUACUUACUGAUAAGAAUUUUGUUAUCGAGAAUAUGCUUAUAAUUUCAUUACUUUCUUUAAGAUUAUACUAUAAUUUAAUUAAAAUUCUAUAGCAAUUUCUGUUCUUUUUUAUAAUUUUCAUCAACGGAAUAACUAUAAAUAUAAAAAUAUUUAUGAAUUUUAAAUUUUUAAGAGACUAUUUUUUAUUAAACCUUAAAAUCAAUGAAAAUUGUACAAAACCUUUGUCCAGAAAAUUUCUCAUUAAAAUUCAUUUAGGGGUUUUUAACAUUUCAGUCCUUUACAAAUAAAAAAAAUGACACUUAUACCUCUGCACAUCUCACUUUGCUGGCUUGAGUUUUAUUUUACCUUUACAAGUCCGCCAAUCUUAAUUUAUCAAUUAGUAAAAUACAAAUUUCGAAAAUCAGAUUUUUCACCAAAUACAAUACAUGCAACGAAAGGGAUUCAAAAAUUAAAUUGAGGAAUAAAAAAGUAACAUUUAUUCACACAAACCCACUAUAAAUUUGGGAAAAGAAAGCAUCAAAAACUUCAAGUUGGUCACGUUACGCCAUCCUCUGUCUUCAAUCCUCAUUUGAAACUAAUAAAAGUUCACUUAAGCGUUUACAAAAAUUAUAUGGAAAAAAUUUUCAAUAAUGCUUGAAAAGAACUUUAUCGAAAUCAUUCCCUACACAAAAUCAUGCACACGAUAUGGGAAAUUCUCAGGUCCCGCUUUGAGUGCCCUGAUAUAUUUAUAGCCAUUAUUAUUAGUCCAUACCAAGCUGGAUAACACUGCUUCUAAGAAAUCACAUCACAUUUAAUAUUUGUUUGCUUUGGUGGACAUAUUUUGUACGACACUGAACAAGUACUUACUAUUGAAUCAGUACAGCACAACCUAAUUAACUCUUAAAAAGCUACCAACUUUAAAUUAGAAUGCACGGCUUAUGACACACUAUCAAGAACCUAAGAAACUAAAUCCAUCGUUACAUUAUAAAUUUACACCACCAUCGAAUUGCAUAUCACAAUAUGACAGCGUCAGCAUUAUGCCCGUAUGUUUUCCUUUAUUCGUUUCUGUUAUUAUUAAAUUUAAUUAAAUACUGGUUUUAACUAUUACUUAUUAAUUUUAAUUAAUUAUGAUUAUUUUUUAAACUAGCAUCAACCUCAUUACCACCGCAAACAUUUGCCAUCCAUUGUCAUCGUCACCGCUGGGCGUCAUACUUUAAUGUUUGUUCAUGCUAAAUUUGAUGCCGUGUUACAGGCACGAAAUGUAUAUGCAACAUGAAAUCAUGCAAAAAAAAAAAAGUGAUAAACAGGUUAAUUAAUUUGAAGAAAUUCCAAAUUUUCAUAAACACGUUUUUAGUUUUUUAAAGGACUAAAUACCUCUCAAUACAACUAACAAGUUGUCAAAUAAUAUUUCAGACUUUUGUUAUUAAGGUUGAUGCUAGUUUAAAUACUAACUUACGUAUAAAAUUAAUACAAAAGAAUAGGAGUAAAGCUAGACACCACUAGCCUAAACUAAGGCAAAUAAUUGAGACACCACGAGUCUAAACUAACGUAAAUAAUUAGCUAAUUAAUUAAAUACUAGUUUACUAAGUCAAGUACACGUUAACCACAAGCAACGAGGUAAAAACGAUUUAAAAUAAAUAAAAUAUAAAAUUAGUGAUCGUAGCAUUUCUUCCCCUUAAAAAUACUGGAUGGACUUUAUUAAAAAGUCUUCUCUCUUCAACAUACUCCUCUAAUGUUGACCAUGCUAAUAUCCUUCCCGAUUGUGUUUAUACGAGUCUUGUCUCUUUCCAACCAUAAUGGCUGCUUCAAGGCCUGUGCAUUAACCAAACCUUUGGAUUUGUUCCGAAAUCAAAUAUGUAUGAGGAUUUUUAAUUCCAAAAUGAUCAUUAAAUUUUUUUGGUAUGUGCACCAGGAUUACUUCAUCAG
rnacentral:lncRNA from 1 species